GAUGAACGCUGGCGGCGUGCCUAAUACAUGCAAGUCGAGCGAACAGACGAGGAGCUUGCUCCUCUGACGUUAGCGGCGGACGGGUGAGUAACACGUGGAUAACCUACCUAUAAGACUGGGAUAACUUCGGGAAACCUGAUCUAAUACCGGAUAAUAUAUUGAACCGCAUGGUUCAAUAGUGAACGACGGUUUUGCUGUCACUUAUAGAUGGAUCCGCGCCGCAUUAGCUAGUUGGUAAGGUAACGGCUUACCAAGGCAACGAUGCGUAGCCGACCUGAGAGGGUGAUCGGCCACACUGGAACUGAGACACGGUCCAGACUCCUACGGGAGGCAGCAGUAGGGAAUCUUCCGCAAUGGGCGAAAGCCUGACGGAGCAACGCCGCGUGAGUGAUGAAGGUCUUCGGAUCGUAAAACUCUGUUAUUAGGGAAGAACAAAUGUGUAAGUAACUAUGCACGUCUUGACGGUACCUAAUCAGAAAGCCACGGCUAACUACGUG
rnacentral:rRNA from 1 species